rnacentral:rRNA from 1 species
UCCGGUGACGAUAGCGGAGUGGAUCCACCUGUUCCCAUCCCGAACACAGAAGUUAAGCACUCCCGCGGCGAAAAUAGUUGGGCCUGCCCCUGCGAACAUAGCACGUUGCCGGGU